ACGCAUCACUGGUGUUCGGGUUGUCAUGCCAAUGGCACUGCCCGGUAGCUAAAUGCGGAAGAGAUAAGUGCUGAAAGCAUCUAAGCACGAAACUUGCCCCGAGAUGAGUUCUCCCUGAGACUUUAAGUCUCCUGAAGGAACGUUGAAGACGACGACGUUGAUAGGUCGGGUGUGUAAGCGCAGCGAUGCGUUGAGCUAACCGAUACUAAUGAACCGUGAGGCUUAACCUU
rnacentral:rRNA from 1 species